rnacentral:rRNA from 1 species
GUAGGUGGCAAGCGUUGUCCGGAAUUAUUGGGCGUAAAGCGCGCGCAGGCGGUUUUUUAAGUCUGAUGUGAAAGCCCACGGCUCAACCGUGGAGGGUCAUUGGAAACUGGAGAACUUGAGUACAGAAGAGGAAAGCGGAAUUCCACGUGUCGCGGUGAAAUGCGUAGAGAUGUGGAGGAACACCAGUGGCGAAGGCGGCUUUCUGGUCUGUAACUGACGCUGAGGCGCGAAAGCGUGGGGAGCAAACAGGAUUAGAUACCCUGGUAGUCCACGCCGUAAACGAUGAGUGCUAAGUGUUAGGGGGGUUUUCCGCCCCCCUUAGUGCUGCAGCUAACGCAUUAAGCACUCCGCCUGGGAGUACGGCCGCAAGGCUG